rnacentral:lncRNA from 1 species
AAAGAACGAAACGAUUGUCCAGCCGUUCGAACAAGUCGUGCAGUCGGCUGAGAGGACCAGCUGAGAGGAACCCAAUAUUUUGGUCCCAAUUUCUUAUUAAAAUCUUCGAAAAUGUGGUACGAAAUUAUACCCAGCAUGGCCGCCGUGACCACCUUCCUUGGCAUACCCACCUUGUUGAUCGCAGGCAUCCACAAAAUUGCAUAUGGCAACUUGUACCAGCGAGACCUGAAUGAGGAAAGGCAGAGAUUCAUGUUCCUCCGAGAUGAACGCUUAACAGGCAGUGGAUUCAAGCAUUUUGGUCUAGAAAAAAUCCCAGAUGAAGAAGCCACAGAAUAGGGACCUUCAACAUUGUAUAAAACUCUUAUAUAGUUUAGCUGUAUAUAACAAGAUCACAUAUGGUUCUUUGUAAUGAUGAUGAUUAUUAUUAAAUUAUAGACUCUUA